CUUGAUUAAUUUUUAAUUUGAUUAAAAUUUAAUCAAAAUUAUUUAUUAUCUAAUUAGAUUAGAUUUAGUGGUUUAAUUAGAUCUAACCUAAUUUGGUUGAAUUAAGAAUCAAAUUGAAUAAGAACUUGAAUUCGAAUUCGAAUUCAUUAUACCUUGCAUCUCCUUUCUUUGCACCCACCUUUUCUUCAUGCGAGAAAAGUUCUUACAUAAAUUUUUUCUCAUGCCC
rnacentral:lncRNA from 1 species